rnacentral:rRNA from 1 species
GUUAUAGGAUCAAGCGAAGAAGUGCAUAUGAUGGAUGCCUUGGCGAUCAGAGGCGAUGAAAGACGCGGUAGCCUGCGAAAAGCUUCGGGGAGCUGGAAACAAGCUUUGAUCCGUAGAUGUCCGAAUGGGGAAACCCACCGUAGUAAUACGGUAUCCCAUGCUGAAUACAUAGGCAUGUGGAGGCGAACCGAGUGAACUGAACCAUCUCAGUAACUCGAGGAAAAGAAAUCAACCGAGAUUCCUUAAGUAGUGGCGAGCGAAACCGGACCAGCCUGGAUGUUUUAGCGUAGUGAAUAGUCGAAUGGAAUGGAAAGUCCAGCCGUAGCAGGUGAUAGCCCUGUAGGCGAAAUUCAGUACGUGGAACUAAGCAUCGAACAAGUAGGGCGGGACACGUGAAAUCCUGUCUGAAUAUGGGGGGACCAUCCUCCAAGGCUAAAUACUACUGAUCGACCGAUAGUGAACCAGUACCGUGAGGGAAAGGCGAAAAGAACCCCGGAGAGGGGAGUGAAAUAGAACCUGAAAUCGUAUGCAUACAAACAGUAGGAGCACCUUCGUGGUGUGACUGCGUACCUUUUGUAUAAUGGGUCAGCGACUUAUAUUCAGUGGCAAGCUUAACCGUAUAGGGUAGGCGUAGCGAAAGCGAGUCUUUAAUAGGGCGUUUCAGUCGCUGGGUAUAGACCCGAAACCGGGCGAUCUAUCCAUGAGCCAGGUUGAAGGCACGGUAACACGUGCUGGAGGACCGAACCCACUAAUGUUGAAAAAUUAGGGGAUGACUUGUGGAUCGGAGUGAAAGGCUAAUCAAGCUCGGAGAUAGCUGGUUCUCCUCGAAAGCUAUUUAGGUAGUGCCUCGUAUUCAUCACCGGGGGUAGAGCACUGUUUCGGCUAGGGGGUCAUCCGCGACUUACCAAACCGAUGGCAAACUCCGAAUACCGGCAAGUACAGUACGGGAGACAGAGCACGGCGGGUGCUAACGUCCGUCGAAGAGGGAAACAACCCAGACCGCCAGCUAAGGUCCCUAACUAUGGCUAAGUGGGAAACGAAGUGGGAAGGCUUAGACAGUCAGGAGGUUGGCUUAGAAGCAGCCACCCUUUAAAAGAAAGCGUAAUAGCUCACUAGUCGAGUCGGCCUGCGCGGAAGAUGUAACGGGGCUCAAAGCCAUACACCGAAGCUGCGGAUGUGUACUUUUAGUACACAUGGUAGGAGAGCGUUCUGUAAGCCUGUGAAGGUGAGUUGUGAGGAAUGCUGGAGGUAUCAGAAGUGCGAAUGCUGACAUGAGUAGCGAUAAAGGGGGUGAAAAGCCCCCUCGCCGUAAGUCCAAGGGUUCCUGCGCAACGUUCAUCGGCGCAGGGUGAGUCGGCCCCUAAGGCGAGGCUGAGAUGCGUAGCUGAUGGGAAGCGGGUUAAUAUUCCUGUACUUCUGGUUACUGCGAUGGAGGGACGGAGAAGGCUAGGCCAGCUUGGCGUUGGUUGUCCAAGUUUAAGGUGGUAGGCUGAAAUCUUAGGUAAAUCCGGGGUUUCAAGGCCGAGAGCUGAUGACGAGUCGUCUUUUAGAUGACGAAGUGGUUGAUGCCAUGCUUCCAAGAAAAGCUUCUAAGCUUCAGGUAACCAGGAACCGUACCCCAAACCGACACAGGUGGUCGGGUAGAGAAUACCAAGGCGCUUGAGAGAACUCGGGUGAAGGAACUAGGCAAAAUGGCACCGUAACUUCGGGAGAAGGUGCGCCGGCUAGGGUGAAGGAUUUACUCCGUAAGCUCUGGCUGGUCGAAGAUACCAGGCCGCUGCGACUGUUUAUUAAAAACACAGCACUCUGCAAACACGAAAGUGGACGUAUAGGGUGUGACGCCUGCCCGGUGCCGGAAGGUUAAUUGAUGGGGUUAGCGCAAGCGAAGCUCUUGAUCGAAGCCCCGGUAAACGGCGGCCGUAACUAUAACGGUCCUAAGGUAGCGAAAUUCCUUGUCGGGUAAGUUCCGACCUGCACGAAUGGCGUAACGAUGGCGGCGCUGUCUCCACCCGAGACUCAGUGAAAUUGAAAUCGCUGUGAAGAUGCAGUGUAUCCGCGGCUAGACGGAAAGACCCCGUGAACCUUUACUGUAGCUUUGCACUGGACUUUGAGCCUGCUUGUGUAGGAUAGGUGGGAGGCUUUGAAGCGUGGACGCCAGUUCGCGUGGAGCCAUCCUUGAAAUACCACCCUGGCAUGCUUGAGGUUCUAACUCUGGUCCGUGAUCCGGAUCGAGGACAGUGUAUGGUGGGCAGUUUGACUGGGGCGGUCUCCUCCUAAAGAGUAACGGAGGAGUACGAAGGUGCGCUCAGACCGGUCGGAAAUCGGUCGCAGAGUAUAAAGGCAAAAGCGCGCUUGACUGCGAGACAGACACGUCGAGCAGGUACGAAAAGUAGGUCUUAGUGAUCCGGUGGUUCUGUAUGGAAGGGCCAUCGCUCAACGGAUAAAAGGUACUCCGGGGAUAACAGGCUGAUACCGCCCAAGAGUUCAUAUCGACGGCGGUGUUUGGCACCUCGAUGUCGGCUCAUCACAUCCUGGGGCUGAAGCCGGUCCCAAGGGUAUGGCUGUUCGCCAUUUAAAGUGGUACGCGAGCUGGGUUUAGAACGUCGUGAGACAGUUCGGUCCCUAUCUGCCGUGGACGUUUGAGAUUUGAGAGGGGCUGCUCCUAGUACGAGAGGACCGGAGUGGACGAACCUCUGGUGUUCCGGUUGUCACGCCAGUGGCAUUGCCGGGUAGCUAUGUUCGGAAAAGAUAACCGCUGAAAGCAUCUAAGCGGGAAACUUGCCUCAAGAUGAGAUCUCACUGGGAACUUGAUUCCCCUGAAGGGCCGUCGAAGACUACGACGUUGAUAGGCUGGGUGUGUAAGCGUUGUGAGGCGUUGAGCUAACCAGUACUAAUUGCCCGUGAGGCUUGACCAUAUAACACCCAAACA